UACGCUAGGGGAGCUAUAUGUUAGCUGAGAGAGCGGAGUUACCGCUGACCCUUAUCACUUGAACCGGUUAAUACCGGCGUAAGGAAGCACGU
rnacentral:ncRNA from 1 species